CCUCCGAUAGCUCAGUUGGUAGAGCGCAAGACUGUAAUAGGUUAACUUGCUUAUCUUGAGGCCGCUAGUUCGAUCCUGGCUCGGAGGA
rnacentral:tRNA from 1 species